rnacentral:rRNA from 1 species
UACGUAGGGUGCGAGCGUUAAUCGGAAUUACUGGGCGUAAAGCGUGCGCAGGCGGUUCGUUGUGUCGGCGGUGAAAGCCCCGGGCUCAACCUGGGAAUGGCCGUUGAAACUGGCGAACUGGAGUGUGGCAGAGGGGGGUGGAAUUCCGCGUGUAGCAGUGAAAUGCGUAGAGAUGCGGAGGAACACCGAUGGCGAAGGCAGCCCCCUGGGCUGACACUGACGUUCAGGCACGAAAGCGUGGGGAGCAAACAGG